AUCUACGGCCAUACCACCCUGAAUGUGCACAAUCUCGUCUGAUCUCAGAAGCUAAGCAGGGUUGGGCCUGCUUAGUACUUGGAUGGGAGACCAUCUGGGAAUACCAAGUGCCAUAGGCA
rnacentral:rRNA from 1 species